AAUAUUGCUAAUUGUGUUUCAGUCAACCCUCCUGUGAUUGGGAGUUUGAAGUCCCAUGAUCAUCAUGUACUCAUUCAAAACUUGUUACCUGUUGCGUUGAGAGGGUUGCUGCCAAGCGGCCUGAUAGUAAGAUUUUAACUAAGAUCAAUUAUCCUUAAAUCACUAUCAUGUCAUUGUAGUAUUUAAGGUGUCAAUCCAAAUGGGUGUGAUGCUAGCAAUCAAGAUGCAAUCAGAUUUCACAGAGUCAAGCCAAGCAAUAACAGGUUUUGAGGUUGUUAACAGUUCCAGUGAUCAUGCAGAAAACAAUAAUUCUAACAGAAACAGACAACACACUCGAUCACACAGCUUGAUGCCAAGCACUGGAUGUGGUCGAGUGCCAGGUCGAGUACCAAACAGAAACUGCAACAAAUGUACUCGACUUCACAGUCCGUUUCCAAACCGCUGGGUGUGGUCGAGUACUUCAAGUGAAAUAAGUAAAAAUGCAAAAACUAAGCAACAAGUAACGAGAUCAAGCAAUCAAUAGCGAUGUGAACAAAGAAAUCAAUUGGAAGAGAAAUUCCCGAGGAUGGGGUAAUCGAGUAGUGAAGUCUCCUUAAUCUAACAGGUGGUUAACAUGCUCAACAAACUAUCCCUAGACAACAAGUUCAAUAGCCAAAUCAAAGUGCUACCGCAACAGAGAUCCUCAAGCAAAGCUAGUCCCAGACUCAAUCACCAUUGACGAGAGCUAACCUAACAGGCAUUACGAAUCAACAAGUCUAAGCCAAAACGCUCCCUGUAACCAAUACCUUGGUGCAGAGCCACGAAUCUCUGGAAUUAGUGGUUCAGACAUUUCAUCGAACACCUUUUGGGUGCGGAAAUGUCUGGGCUCAGAUUCCAGUUGAUCAGAAAGCAAUCAGCAUUAAGAACAACUAAUCCAGAAGGGAUCUACCAAUCAAACUCAACCACCUAGCAGAUCAAGGAUUCUAAACUACUCUAACCCAUCCUCAAGAACCCUAAUCACUACUCAAAAUUCAUAACCAAGAACACAAACCCAGAAAUACAUAAAAACUUCAUAUUAGCAAGAUCUCAACAAGAUGAACAACUUUGUAGAAGAAAUCAAAAGCAAAUACUCAAUAGAUUAAGAGAAAUCUAGAUUACAAAUAUGAAGAAAGCACUAAUUGUUCUGCAGAAUAAAACUUAGACAGAAUAAAACUUCGUCUCAAAAUUAUGAGAAACAACCUAUUUAUAGCAAAUACUAGGAAACCCUAAAUCACAAGACGACAAAGUAUUAAGGCGGUUUACGGAGACAUUCGGCUUCGUGCAAUCGAGUGAAGAAGUCGAGCAAAGCUGGCUCCUUUGCGGUUUCUUGAUCUGGUUGUGAUGCGAUCGAGUGACUAGGUCGAGUAUCCACUCGAGUCCCGCUUCAUCUUCUUCUCUUCCUUAUGCUCAGUGUCUGGUUGAGUUGGGAUCUGAGAAGCCUCUGAAGCGUGCAGUCAAGUGCUUGGUCGAGUAAGUUGGUGGAGGAUACUCCACUGCGUGCUCGAGUCGUGAUCUGGAGUCGUGGUCUACUUGGUGAAGGAGCUGGUACUCGACCAUGAGGUCGAGUGGUAGGUCGAGUUGGUGAUCGACUUGGUGCUCGAGUUGGUGCUCGAGUUGGUGCUCGACUUGGUGCUCGACUUUGUCGUGGUCGAGUGCAUUUGGAAGGUCAUGAUGAUGGUGCUCGACCUCGUGGUCGAGCAUACUGAUGGGUUCUGGUCCACUUCUUCCAAUUUGCUCACCAACAGCUCCAAAUCACCUGAAAACAACUCAAAUAUGCAACAUGCAUGCAAAACUAUCCUAAUCAUGCAAAGUGAUGACAAAUGAUGAAGAAUGGUACGAAACAAUGACGAAAUGAUGAUAAAGUGAUGCUAAAUGGAUGCUCAAAACAAGUAAAAUAUAGACAUAUCAACUCCCCCAAACUUAGUCUUUGCUUGCCCUCAAGCAAACAAUUAAGAACAAGGUGGAGGAGAGGUUUGAAAGCGGGGACUCAGAACCAAAGCAUGCAGACAAAGCAAAUGAACUCAAUGUCCAAGUUAGUAAUUGUGGAAUGCUUAGAGACCAAACUCUACUUAAAAACUUUAGCCAUAUUCAUCACAAGACAACCUAACAUUUGUUCCAAUCUACACACACCUUCAGAUCAUCAAUUCCCUUUAACAUUGAUUAAGCUCAAACCAUGAAUCAAGCAAAACAUUGUUGAAGAACUCGUUUGGUUUAAAGGACAAGGCUGAGAAACAAAGAUGGUUCCUCUGUAAAUGGUUUCAGACUUUUUCACAGUAACAGGGAACUCUCAUGAAUGGACAGAGCUUUAGCAGAAUGCUAAAGGUUAGAACCAACCUACACAUACAAGAACAGACCCCAUCUACCCAAAUAACAAUAAUCAUAUCAAACUCCAUAGAUGGUCCUAUCUCUAAACCCCAGAAAUGAUCCUAAUUCUACCCUUUGUACUCAAGGCAUGCUUCGAUAAUCUCUUGGAUCAACCCAUUCUUUCUUUUUGGUUUUGUUCUAAGGAGAGGUUUUCUUUUAGACUUUCUAGUGGAUUGGGACUUUCUUUAACAACUAAAGCUCUUCUUCUCAUCUCAUGACUUAAGACAACUCUAGGCUUUUGCCUUUCUUUUUACUUUGCACAGAGCCUAACUUCUUUUAUUUUCAAACUUCCCAAAUCCUUUACUAGACUAACAAGAUAUUCUUUUCUGUUUCACUUCCAUCUCCUAAGAACAAUAACACUUGUCUUUCUUUCUCAUUUUCUUUCCAAACACAUUCCAAAACCCAAAGUAAAACUCCCACCUAGUCCUAUCUAGCCCAAAAAGCAUGGACUAGAACUACAUGGGAUACUAUUCUUGUCGGUUCAUACCUAACACUUUCUACCAAGCUCAAUCCGGAAAUAGGCCUCACACACACACAAAUUUAUUCAGGGUUUGAAAGAAAGGUUAGGUUCAGGGUGGGGGAAACUGUUCCAAUGAUGGGAAUCAGCUACUUGGAUUAGCAAGAGUGGUAGAAGGUGAAAGAAAAUCCAAGUAUGUGUAUUGGUAGCCACAAGUUCAACAACAAUGCAAAGACAUGAUAAUUACAAGUCAAGUUUAGGUUCUAAUAGAUAGGGAAAAGAAUCUCAUCAAGCAUGCUUCAAUUAAAACAAGAGAGUCAAGUUGUGAAUUCCAAAUAUGGUGCAGUCUUAAUUCAAGUUCUAUCACAAGCAUUAAACAACUAAUAACGAGGGCAUUGAAUUCAUUCAGUAAAUGAGCAUACUUACAAGGUUAUCUCAUCAUCAUCCCCUAUACAAAUGCAACAAUCCUAUAUGAAACCUUCUAGACUCAAUCUUAAAAUGAAAAUGCAACUACAUGAACACUCUAUUUUUGUGAAAUCAUUUUCAGAAAUUUUUCAAAUUUUUAGGGUUUUUUCAAUAACAUAGAUGAAUGCAGACAGUAUGUACAAUGCAAGAAAAAUUUGAAAACAAGAGCAAAGCAAACACAUCAGAUACUUCCUGAGCCCUCCCCCAAACUCGAAUCACACAGUCCUCUGUGUGAUCAAACUUGGAAGAGAGUACUCAGGACAAAAACAACACAGAAACAAAAUAAACAGAAGAUGGUAUUUGACAAUGGUGAAUGGUAGUGCUUACCUCAGUUGAAGUAAGAUUGUAGGUGAUCAUCCUUGUUGCGUUUCAGCUUCUCCUUCCUGUUGGUGCUCGACGUCCCUUCUCCUUCUGCGGCCAGCACCGCGGUCGAGUGUGCUCCUGGAGCGCAUUAGCAGCGUUGUGCUGUUGGAACGGGCAAGUACAGCCUUCUUUCUCCUCUUGUGUUCUCGAGGCUCGUGUGAUGAGUGCCUUGCAGGGGCUGGAGAGAUUUCAUGCGCACUAGGCUCAGGCUCAUCAUAUCUCCUCGAAGGCAUGUCUUGAGGAGGCUGUCCUUGUGGUACUGCUGUGCUGGAAGAUGAGCAGCUAAUCAUGGCCUUCAUAGACUUCAUACCCUUUAUGAACUUGUUGAUGUACUUGUCCUGCUUCUUGCACCACUUCUGCAAUAGGCUCUGGUUUUUGUGAGCUUCACUCAAGCUCUUACUCUCUCUUGCUGGAGCCACGUGUUCACUGAAAUGAUACAUACUUGUAUCAUAUGGCUCUUCCCAAUCUACUUCCAUCUCAUCAAUCUCAUCAUCUGCAGCUUCUUCUUCUGCAGGAACAGCCUCGUGCGUUGGCUGAGCUAUCUCGACGUACAGGUCGUCAACUGAAGGUUCAAAGUUGAUGUUAUAUCCCUCUAUGAUGCGUGUAAGCUCAGGGCGGGGAAGAAGGAUGUUGGCUCUCUUGGUUGUGGGGUGCUCAAAGCGAUAUCUAUACAUGUCGCCAACCAUCGCACGCUCCAGGAAUUCAAUGUGAUGUAGGUGUUCAAUAUCCAUCCACUUCCAUUCAUGUCCCUUGGAGACGAUGGGGACUCCACAUGAAAUCAGAAUUGGUGUUUCACUUCAUCUUCAAAAGCGCGUGGGGAGACAAAAAGUAAAGGCGGUGGGCCAUGCUCUAUCUCUUUACCUUGAAUCAUUUUUUUUUUGUUGACUGGGAAAGUCUCAGAACAACCCGCAAUCUUCUGUAAACUCAAUCAUUCUUCUGUAAGUCUCUGUGAUCUCUGUUGGUCGAGUAUAGUGAUGACUUUUAAAAAUUUUGGGCCAAAAUCAUCACAUAUACUCGACCACAUCUCCUCAUUACCAAGUGGCUUCGCGUGAUAGAGUGGUAAGUCGAAACUUCAAAGUUCUUGAGUCGAAAACCACUUUGAUACUCGAUUACACAGCUCCACUUGCUCUUUGCCCUUGUGGUUGAGUAUUGUGUUGAACUCUCAGAGCCAGAAUCCACUUCACUCAGCUCAUGACACUUAUUUCCUGAAAGCACUACCUAAAUGCAUUAAAAAUAACAAGGAAAGUAAAAAUAUGUACAUGGAUAGACAUGGGACUUCCUCCCAAGUGAGCUUGUUUUAAGUCAUUAGCUUGACUUCCUUACUCCCUUAAGCAUCAAGAGGUUCCUGGAGAUGAACUGAGGUCACCUCUGGAAGGAUUUGAUAUGCUAAGUAUUUCUUGAGUCUUUGGCCAUUCACUGUGAAAUCUCCACUCUUACCAGCUAGAGUGAACUUCAGUAACACAGAAGGGGCCAGACCAUCUAGACUUGAGCUUUCCUGGAAAGAGUUUCAAGCGAGAGUUGAAUAGCAGCACCUGAUCACCAACUUGGAAAUCCUUGGUGAUGAUCUUCUUAUCAUGGAAAAGCUUAGUCCUUUCUUUGUAAAUUUUAGAGCUCUCAUAAGCUUCCAACCUAACUUCAUUGAGAUCAUUCAGCUGGAUCAACCUCUUCUCUCCAGCAGUUUUGAUGUCGUAAUUCAGAAGCUUCACAGCCCACAUAGCCUUGUACUCGAGCUCAACAGGUAAGUGACAGGAUUUUCCAUAGAGAAGGUUGAAGGGAGUUGUACCAAUAGGGGUUUUGAAUGCUGUCCUGUAAGCCCAUAGUGCAUCAUCUAGCUUUGCAGACCAGUCUUUCCUUGUAGUCCCAACAGUCUUCUCCAGAAUUGCUUUUAUCUCCCUGUUGGAGAUCUCAACCUGACCACUUGUCUGUGGAUGAUAAGGAGUGGCUACCUUAUGCUUCACUCCGUGUUUCUUCAAUAAGUUCUCAAAGACUUUGUUGAUGAAGUGUGUACCUCCAUCACUGAUGACGACCCUUGGUAUACCAAAUCUAGGGAAAAUUAUGGUUUUAAACAUCUUCAGAACCACCCUUGAGUCAUUUGUCGGACUUGCAAUGGCCUCAACCCACUUGGCCACGUAGUCCACUGCUACCAAGAUGUAUUUAUUCCCAUAGGAAGAAGGGAACGGCCCCAUAAAGUCGAUUCCCCAGACGUCAAAGAUUUCUACCUCUAGUAUAGGAUUUUGUGGCAUUUCAUUUCUUCUGCUGAUGUUUCCCUUCCUUUGGCAUGAGGCACAUCUUGAUAUGAACUGCUGGGCGUCUUUGAACAUGGUUGGCCACCAGAAGCCUGCUUGCAGUACCUUAGAUACUGUCUUAAAAGUCGCAAAGUGACCACCAUAUGUUGAACCAUGGCAGUGAAGCAAGAUGUCUUCUACUUCCUCCUCUGAGAUACAUCUUCUGUAAAUUUUGUCUUUACAGAGAGUGUAAAGAUAUGGCUCAUCCCAGUAGUAGUGGUUGAUAUCUCUGAAAAACUUCUUCUUUUCAUAACUGGUCAGGUUGGGAGGCUCUACUCCGCAGGCCAAGUAAUUGACAUGAUCAGCAUACCAUGGAGAUUUUCUUUCAACAGCAUUCAGUUGGUGAAACUCUUUCCCACUGUAAUUCUUUCCAAAGAAUUCUGUAACCAUGAGUUGCUCCUCUGGCAUCGAAUCAUCAAUAGGGACUUCAUCAUCGAUCCUCAUCCUUGAUAAGUGAUCAGCUACACCGUUCUCUAUACCCUUCUUGUCUACUAUUUCCAUGUCAAACUCUUGCAGAAAUAGUAUCCAUCUCAAUAGUCUUGGCUUAGUGUCCUUCUUUGCAUAAAUGUGUCUCAAGGCUGCAUGAUCUGUGUAGACUAUGACUUUAGAACCCACCAAGUAGCUUCUGAACUUUUCAAACGCAAAAACAACUGCCAAUAACUCCUUCUCUGUCGUGGCAUACUUCACCUGAGCAUCAUCCAUUGUUCUACUUGCGUAAUAGAUGACAUGGAGCUUCUUGUCAAUCUUUUGUCCCAAGACUGCUCCUACAGCGUAAUCUGAGGCGUCACACAUGAUUUCGAAUGGAUAAUCCCAGUUUGGAGCUUGGACUAUUGGAGCUGAAAUCAGAGCUUCCUUGAUGAGUUGAAAAGCUUUCAGGCAUUCCUCAUCAAAAUCAAACUCUGUUUCCUUACACAGCAGCCUUGUCAUUGGUCUUGCCAGCUUAGAGAAAUCCUUGAUAAACCUUCUAUAAAACCCAGCAUGUCCCAGAAAACUUCUCACGUCCUUGACACUCUUUGGUGGUUGCAGUUGCACCAUAACCUCAAUCUUUGCUCUGUCAACCUCUAUACCCUUCUCUGAAAUCUUGUGCCCCAAUACAAUGCCUUCUUUGACCAUGAAAUGGCAUUUUUCCCAGUUGAGUACCAAGUUCGUCUCUUCACACCUAGAAAGUACCCUGCACAAGUUUGACAAACAAGAGGAGAAGGAGGAGCCAUACACGGAAAAGUCAUCCAUGAAUACCUCAACCAUCUCCUCAAUUAAAUCCGAGAAGAUAGAAGUCAUGCACCGCUGAAAUGUAGCUGGUGCAUUACAGAGACCAAAAGGCAUUCUUUUAUAUGCAAAGGUUCCGUAUGGACAUGUGAAUGUAGUUUUCUCUUGAUCAUUAGGGUGAAUUGGUAUUUGAAAGAAACCACUAUAACCAUCAAGAAAGCAGUAGUAUGGGUGAUUAGCUAACCUUUCUAGCAUUUGAUCAAUGAAUGGAAGUGGAAAAUGAUCUUUCCUAGAUGUAGAAUUCAACUUCCUAUAGUCAAUGCACAUUCUAUGUCCAGUUAUAGUUCUAGUGGGUAUGAGCUCAUCUUUAUCAUUUUUUACUACAGUCAUACCUCCUUUCUUUGGAACACAAUGAACUGGAGAUACCCAAGUGCUAUCGGAAAUAGGGUAAAUUACACCUGCUUCCAAUAGUUUAAGUAUCUCCUUCUUUACAACUUCUUUUAAAUUAGGAUUCAACCUUCUUUGGGGUUCAAUGCUCGAAUAAGAUUCAUUUUCAAGAUGAAUGCGAUGUGUGCAUAAACUAGGUGAAAUGCCCUUUAUAUCAUCAAGUGAAUAACCAAUGGCUCUUCUAUACUUUUUCAGUUCAGUUAACAGAAGAUGCACUUGUUCAUCAGUUAAUGCAUCAUUCACAAUGACAGGAUAUGUAGAGUUGUUACCUAGAAAUGCAUACCUGAGUCCUUUGGGAAGCGGCUUAAGUUCAACUUUUGGUGCCUUGAGUUCAGACCAGUCGUCUGAUGUUGGAAUGAUCAGCUCUGCAGGGAUGUCAACUGUAGUGGUCGAGUGUUCAGUCGAGUAAGUCCUCGAGUGAGCAGGUUGAGCCUGAGUUGAGUCCUCGUCAUUCACUGCCAUUACCUCUGUUGCUGACCCAUUCAAUUCCUCAAAGGAUUCUGACUCUUCUACUGCUUUGUGUGAGUCCAACAGCUUCUGGUAACCCAAAGUUUCUAAAUGCAGAAACCCUUCUUCACCAUUCUUGGUCAAAGCACUCUUAAGGUGAUCUUCUUCUGCUAGCUCCUCUAGUAACUCAUCAGUUAACUGAUCCAUUUCUUCAAUCCAAAAGAGUUGCCCUUCUAUAGUUGGCUUCUUCAUUGCAUCCUUUAUAUCAAAGGUCAUUUUAAGGUCUUUACCAAGGUUCAGAUCGAUCUUCCCCUUCUUGACAUCAAUGAUAGCUCCAGCAGUCGCCAAGAAAGGUCUUCCCAGAAUCAGAGGGUCCUUUGGUUCUUCAUCCAUUUCAAGCACUACAAAAUCAGUAGGUAUCUCUACGACUCCGAUCUUGAUUGGUAAGUCUUCAAGCAGGCCAUGAGGUAUUCUGAUGGAUCUGUCUGCUAGGAUCAGAGAGAUAUUGCAAGCUUUGUAUUUGCUGAAACCAAGUCUUUUCGCAACUGAGAGAGGCAUGAGGCUCACUGAUGCGCCUAGAUCGCAGAGGCAUCUGUUGAAUGAUAAAGGACCUAAUGAACACAGUAGAGUGAAUGAGCCAGGAUCACCAAGCUUCUUUGGAAUGAUCUUCUUUUGUAUAAUAGCACUGCAUUCAUGACUCAAUACUACCAUUCCUUGCACUUCUUGAAUUCUUUCCAUGAUCAGGUCUUUUAGAAACUUGUGGGAAUCCGGAAUAAGCGCGAGAGCAUCAACAAGAGGUAUUCUUAAUUCAACUUCUUUGAUGUUCUUGGCAAACAUAGCUCUAUACUUUUCUGCCAAUGCUUUCUUGUGUCGUCCAGGGAAUGGAAGUGGGGGUUUGUAAGGAGGAGGAACAAAAACCUUCUCCUUGUUCUUAGCAGCAACUGGUUUUAGAACAGCAGGUGAUGUUACUGGAAUUGGUGAUCGAGUAACAUGGUCGAGUGGAGGGUCGAGUACUUCUGUUGGCUUGUCAACUUGAUCUUCAUUGAGAUUGAAAUCCUCCCCAUCUUGGUCUGCACUGUCCUCAGUGGCUGGCUUAGGUCCCUCUCUGGUUGGAAGUUCUUUACCACUGCGCAGGGUGAUAGCAUGAGCCUGAGCAUAGUCUUUUGGAUUCUGAAUCGCUUUGCCUGGAAGUUGGCCAGUAGGUUUUGGAGCAGAAGUUGAUGCAGAUUGUCCUUCCAAGUAUCGGACUUUAGAAUUCAAUGCCUCCACUUUGACAUUCAAGUCAUUGUAGCUACAGUCCAGCUUAUUGUGUAAUUCAGAUAUUUUCUUAGCAAUCUCCAUGGAGCCAGAUGCUUGUCCUUGGAGAAGCUGUUGUCGCAUUUGCUUCAUGUCAGAAUCAGGGGCAGCAUGACCUUGGUGUUGCUGAGGUGCAAACCCAGGUGGUGAUUGCUGCUGGUAGUUCCCCUGAAAUUGUUGUUUGGGAGCAAAACCUUGGUUGUAGGGAACAAAAGGUUUAUUCUGACCCUGCUGUUGUUGUGGAGGAUACACUUGAUCCUGUGGAUUAGCAACGUUGGUGCUGCGGUAAGAAAGGUUGGGGUUGUUAGUCUUGAAGUUGUUAUACCCUUUGUAGCCGCCUUGAUUGUUGAUGUAGCUGACCUCUUCUAACUGGUUCCCCUCCCCAUCUUGGACUUGAUACUGCUCGUCAUCAAGUAGAAAGUGCACAUUCUUCUGCUGGCCAAGGAUAAGCCUAUCCAGUUUCUCAUUAAGAGCUUUCAUCUCUUUACUAUGCUUUGCAUCCGAUUCUCCAAUACCUCUGUUGGAGCGAUCAAAAUUCUCGUUAUAAUUACCAUCGGAUUGAGCUAAGUUCUCAAUUAAUUCCCAGCCGUCUUCAACAUCCUUAUUCAAGAAAUUCCCAUUAGAAGCAGUGUCCAGCAACAUUCUGAUUUUGGGCAAAACUCCCCUGUAGAGUGUGCUUAGUAGAGAAGCCUUCUUGAAACCAUGGUGUGGACACUGUAUAGUGUAGCCUUUGAAUCUCUCCCAGGCUUCACAAAUGGAUUCAGACUGCUUUUGGGUAAAACUGGAGAUUUCAUUCCUAAGCCUUGCAGUUCUUGAAUUUGAGAAGAACUUUGUUAAGAAGGCCUUCUUGCAAUCGUCCCAAGAUGUGAUGGAGCCAGCAGGUAACGUCUUUUCCCAUUGGUGUGCUUUGUCUCCCAGUGAGAAGGGAAACAGGCGCAGCUUGAAACUGUCCUCACUAACACCGUUUAUCUUGGUUAGGCUGCAGAGCCUGUCGAAGUUAUCCAAGUGGUCUAAGGGAUCUUCCAGAGGCAGACCAUGGAACUUGUUUCCUUGAAUCAUCGAGAUGAGACCACUUUUAAUCUCGAAGUUGUUGUUUUGGACAGCAGGAGGCACAAUUCCUUGCCUCUGAUGGUGGUUUCUUGGUGCAUCUCCAGCACCAAUGUUUGCUGGCAGAUUGUUGACAUCUUGUUCAUCAGCCAUUCUGAAAGGAUGGUUGUGUUCAAGGUCUGUAGUGUCUCUCCUUUCCCUUAGUUCUCUGUCAAUACGGUCAAUGUUAUCGUUGAAAAGGAGGUUCUGGUUGCCUUUUGAUCGAGUUUGCAUACAGCAGGGUUGCAGAGUGAUCAGACUCGAUGUGGCAGUCUCGACGUGAGGUCGAGAUGGUCCCUAACAAUGCAGAGUGGCAGACUCGAUGUGGCAGUCUCGACGUGUCGUCGAGAUGGUACCUGGAUCACAAAAACAAGCAGAUGAAAUGAAGAGUUAGUAACCAACGUAAAGAAAGAACUUGAUCUUAAACGUUUCUGAAAUCCUAAAUGGAACAAUGCAACACAAGACUGGCAACGGCGCCAAAUUGAUACUAAGAUUUUGCUAUCAAUUACCCUAAUAUACUUUCAUGUCAUUGCAGUAUAAGAGGUUAUCAAUCCAAUCAGGUGCUCUCACUAUCAAUCAAGAUAUGCUCAGAGAUAACUAAGUCAAGCCAAGCAGAAUAGAGGGUUGUUUAUCUAACAAUCCUAAGCGAACAUGCAUAAAAACGAUAAAGCUACAGAACAUGAAUGAACAUGCAUAAAGAGAAAUGAUUAUCAAAACUAAGCAGUAAUAAGCAAGCAGGUCGAGUAGAACACAAAAUCUAACAGAAACGAUAAUCAAGCAAUCAAUAGAGAUAAAGGGUCCUGAGGAAUGGGGUAAUCGAUUAUGGCAGUCUCCUUAGUCUACCUAGGUGGUUAACAAACUCAAUCAAGCUAUCCCUAGACAAUAGAUUCGAAUACAAAUCAAUCCACUCUCGUGACAGAGAUUCUCAAGCUAAAUCACUUUCAUACUCAAUUCUCAUUGAAGAAAUAUAACCUAGCAGGCAUUAUGAUUCAAUCUAAUAAAGUCAAUAAGCAUUCUAAACAUCCAAUCUCUUGGGCUAGAGUAUGCAAAUCUCUGGAAAAGUUUGUUCAGACAUUUCAUCAAACACCUUUUGGGUGUGGAAAUGUCUGAGAUCAAUUUCCAAUUGAUCAGAGAAGAAAUAACAUUAAGAUCUACUAAACCAGAAGGGAAAUCAAGCAAUUCAACACUUAACCACCUAAAUAUACUAAGGAUUCCACACCUAAUCUAACCCAUCCUCAAGAACCCUAAUCCACUACUCAAGAACACUGAAGAACAUCAUGCAUAAAAACCCAGAAAACGUUUCAAACCCAGAAAUCAUUGAAAAGAAAGUAUGUUAUAGAUAAAAGACAGAUCUACAACUUUGAUGAAGAAAAGAAAUGCAAAAACUCAAAGGAUCAACAGGAAAAACGAUUACAAAAACUAGGGUUUAUGAGAGAACAAAGGAAUAUCUGCUGGGUAAAAGGAAUAUCCCCUGGACAAUAGCAUGUACCCCUAUUUAUAGGAAAUACUAGGUUACCCUAAUUGGCUACAGGACAAAAUAGAGAGUCGGUGGAGGCCAACUCGACGUGUCGUCGAGCCUACCACGUCGAGACCAUGUGAUUCUCAAAGGUGGCGCCUUGAUGUCCAUCUCGACGUGACGUCGAGCCUGUCUGGUCGAGUCUGCUCCCAGGCUGCUUCUUGGCGUCCAUCUCGACGUGACGUCGAGCCUGUCUGGUCGAGACUGCUCCCAGGCUGCUUCUUGGCGUCCAUCUCGACGUGACGUCGAGGCUGUCUGGUCGAGACUUGUCCCAGGUGAUCUUGAACGACUUCAUUCUCUCNNNNNNNNNNNNNNNNNNNNNNNNNNNNNNNNNNNNNNNNNNNNNNNNNNNNNNNNNNNNNNNNNNNNNNNNNNNNNNNNNNNNNNNNNNNNNNNNNNNNNNNNNNNNNNNNNNNNNNNNNNNNNNNNNNNNNNNNNNNNNNNNNNNNNNNNNNNNNNNNNNNNNNNNNNNNNNNNNNNNNNNNNNNNNNNNNNNNNNNNNNNNNNNNNNNNNNNNNNNNNNNNNNNNNNNNNNNNNNNNNNNNNNNNNNNNNNNNNNNNNNNNNNNNNNNNNNNNNNNNNNNNNNNNNNNNNNNNNNNNNNNNNNNNNNNNNNNNNNNNNNNNNNNNNNNNNNNNNNNNNNNNNNNNNNNNNNNNNNNNNNNNNNNNNNNNNNNNNNNNNNNNNNNNNNNNNNNNNNNNNNNNNNNNNNNNNNNNNNNNNNNNNNNNNNAAUGCAUAAGAAAUGCGUGCUAAAAAGAGGUAAAAUACAGAGAUAUCAGUUGUCUAAUUUCAGAGGUCCUGAUGGUUAUUGUGGGAAUAUUGCUAAUUGUGUUUUAGUCAACCCUCCUGUGAUUGGGAGUUUUAAGUCCCAUGAUCAUCAUGUACUCAUUCAAAACUUGUUACCUAUUGCGUUGAGAGGGUUGCUGCCAAGCGGCCCUAGGACUGCGGUAACUCGAGUCUGCAACUACUUCAACAGAUUGUGCCAACGUACGAUUGACCCAGAGAAGCUAGUUUCUUUAGAGUCUGAGAUUGUAGAGACAAUGUGCCAACUGGAGCGGUUCUUUCCUCCUUCACUGUUUGAUAUCAUGUUCCACCUCCCAAUACAUCUAGCAAGAGAGGCACGGUUGGGAGGUCCGGUGCACUUUCGCUGGAUGUAUCCUUUCGAGAGGUUUGUUCUUAUCUUAUUUCUAUCUUUACAUGUUGUGUUUUGAGACAUGCUAUUUUCUGACAUAUUGAGUACAAAUAUGAAUUCUUGAAUGAGUUGUAGGUACAUGAAAACACUUAAGGCAUAUGUAAAAAACUAUGCAAGACCAGAAGCGUGUAUGGUUGAAGGAUACUUGGCCGGAGAAUGCAUUUCUUUCUGCUUAGGGUUCCUACAGAAUUCUGUACUAGUGCAAGAAGCUGUAAACCGUAACGAAGAUGUUGAGGCUGAUGGAAGUGUUGUUGAAGGCAGACCAUUGCAUAAGGGUCGAGAAGUUGUCCUUUCAGAGAAAGAGAGAGACAUAGCACAUCGAUAUGUCUUGAUGAACUUCGCAGCUGUGGAUCCCUAUGUGGAGUAAGUUGAACCAUACUCUCUCAUUUACAGCUUCUUUACCUAUCACACAGAUAAGAUAACUGCUCUACUAUGGAAUAACAGGAUGCAUUUGGAAGAAUUGCAGUCUCAGGAUGCUCGAUGCGCUAGAAAUGAAACUAUUUUAUGGAAAUAUCAUACAGAUCAGUUUGCCCAGUGGAUAAAAAAAAAGGUUUCUACAUAUCUAUUUCUAAUUUUUUUUUACUUUAACACUCUUUUCAUGUUUUAAUUUCUGUCACUGAUAUUGUUUAUGUUUGCCAGAUUCCUUCUAAUUCAAAAGAUCACUCGACGAAGCUUCGGUGGUUGGCAUUUGGACCUAGACUAACUGCUCAAACCCACAAAGGAUUUGUCAUUAACGGGCAUCGCUUUCACACUGAUGACAUUAAGCGGAAGACACAGAAUACUGGAGUGACUUAUGAAGCUUUUAGCAUGUGUAGAUCUACUGCACGAGACACUAGACAAAUGGCUGACAUAGUUACUUACUAUGGAGUGAUCAAGGAAAUUAUACUUCUAGACUACCACAUGUUCACAGUGCCAUUAUUCAAAUGCAAUUGGGCCAAUAGAGGGUAUGGUGUAAAGGAAGAGGAUGGAUUCACGCUUGUGAACCUUCAUAUGAAUCAAUCGUCAUAUCUCCAAGAUCCAUAUAUUCUCCCAUCACAAGCAAAACAUGUUUUCUAUUCCAGAGAGAAUGACACAUCACCUUGGUAUGUUGUUAUGAGGGCUCCUCCUAGGGGCUACCACGAGUUGGAGACAGAGGAAGAGUUUGUUGGUGCACCUUUAUCACCCCAACCAGUUGAUGAUUUAGAGAUUCAAUCUUCUGAUUAGGCCUGGGCGUUCGGAUAUUCGGGUCGGGUUCGGGUCGGGUUUUUCGGGUUCGGUUUUUUUGGGUUUAGAAAACUAAGACCCGUUCGGGUAUUUUAAAACAUCGGGUUCGGGUCGGGUUCGGAUCGGGUAUUUCGGGUUCGGAUUCGGGUUUACCCGAAGUAUCCAAAUAUUAGAAAUUUUGUAUCCGAUUCUAUGCAAAGUAUUGAAAAAUACUCAAAAAAUCUAUAAAACCUAAGUAUUUUAUACCCGAAUGUAACCCAAAGUAGUUAAAACACUUGGAAAUAUCUUAACAUCCGAAUUAUUUAGGCACUUAGGUUAUUACAAGUAUAAAUAUUACUAAUAUAUUAUAACUAUGUACUUAUAUUUGGGUAUGUUCGGGUACUUGUUCGGGUUUGAGUUCGGGUCGGGUUCAGGUUUGGGUUUUCGGGUUGUGAAGUUUAGAACCCGUUCGGGUAUUUUAAAACUUCGGGUUUGGGUUCGGACCGGGUUUUUCGGGUCGGGUUCGGUUCGGUUCUUUGGGUUUGGGUAUUAUGCCCAGCCCUACUUCUGAUGAUGAGAGUUUCUAUGUUAGGGAGGAUUGUGAAGGGAUCACAGUUGCAGAGUAAUAGGUCACUGUGAUAGGAGAAUUGCAGUGAUGUUUUUAAUUUUACUUUCAUGUUUCGUUUUGCAGGAUCUUAAGUGAUGAAGACAAGAGGAGGAUUAGUCCGUCGAAGUAAACGUCAACAAGGCUUGGAUGCUGUAACAGUCAUGCAGCGGCCAAAAGCCACCAAAACAAAGAAGAAAAGAAUAGGAGAAGUGAUGACUGAUGUUGUUAACCUUGAGGAAGCUGAAGAAGCUGUUGGUGAUCUUGUUCAAGAUGUUCAGAAGUUUGGUGAUAUAGCUGCUGAGGAAGUUGUUGGUGGUCCUGUUCAAGAAGUUCAGAAAUUUGGUGAUGUAGCUGCUGAGGAAGCUAAUGGUGAUCCUGAUCAAACUGUUUCUGAGAAAGAAGUUGCUAACACUAGUCAACAACCAGCUGAGCAAGUAGAUGCUCAAGAUGAUGAUGAGACUGUUGAACCUAUGGCAGUUGAAACUGACAAUAUGAAUCAAGAUUCUCAACCUGUUGCAUCUGAACCUAAUGCUAGGGAAGAUGACUCUCAUCGUACUGAUGCUGGAACUGAGAUGCGUAGCACUUCAGGACUAGGAACACCGCAGUCAGCUCCCACUAUAAAGAAGAGAAGAGGGCCGACCAAGAUGCGUAAAGUGGCUAAGGAUCCUCAGGACAGGGUUGAAGUGUCAUUCACUGAGCUUGGUGAACAUGUAGGUCCUGGUUCAGUGACACUAUCAUCAUUUGUUGGUGCUAUUGUGCGUGAACAUGUUCCGGUAACACUUGAUGAUUGGAGAAAACUGGAUAGUCAGACAAAGGAUACACUUUGGGAGGAAAUACAGGUUUAUGAACAUUAGUGUAUAAC
rnacentral:lncRNA from 1 species